rnacentral:rRNA from 1 species
UACGGAGGAUGCAAGCGUUAUCCGGAAUUAUUGGGCGUAAAGCGUCCGCAGGUGGUUGUACAAGUCUGCUGUUAAAGCGUCCAGCUUAACUGGAUACAGGCAGUGGAAACUGUGCGACUAGAGUUUGGUAGGGGUCACGGGAAUUCCCAGUGUAGCGGUGAAAUGCGUAGAUAUUGGGAAGAACACCAGCGGCGAAGGCGGCUCACUGGCCCGGAACUGACGCUGAGACGCGAAAGCGUGGGGAGCAAACAGG